GGUGAGCAUGCGCGUUGGUUGACGGGCGGGCACGUGGACGGUGGAAUUUACAAGUUCAGUUCAAUGACAUAUGAUGUAGUCAAGGUGCGCUCGUAACUAGUCUAUCAAGCAGUGGGAAGAACAAUUCCACAACGCACUGAACCACCACAAGAUGUUAUGCUGCACCAUGUAUACGAGUAAUACAACUACGUGAUACUCUCGUGUGAUGAACUAAUUGACAACAUUUGAUGUCUUGUUACAUUGCUGAUGAAAUUGAUGCUAAUGGACAUGUAGACUUGCCAUAGCUUGUUAGAGACACUUUAUACACAAUCUUGCUGCAUGUGUGUGUGUGUGUGUGUGUGUGUGUGUGUGUG